rnacentral:rRNA from 1 species
GACGAACCGUGCGAACGUUGUUCGGAAUCACUGGGCUUAAAGGGCGCGUAGGCGGGCAUCCAAGUCAGUGGUGAAAUCCUCCGGCCUAACCGGAGAAGAGCUGUUGAUACUGGGUGCCUCGAGUGGUGCAGGGGUCUGCGGAACUUCCGGUGGAGCGGUGAAAUGCGUAGAGAUCGGAAGGAACGCCGGUGGCGAAAGCGGCGGACUGGGCACCUCCUGACGCUGAGGCGCGAAAGCCAGGGGAGCAAACUGG